rnacentral:lncRNA from 1 species
UGUUGGUCCACUUGGAUUGAGCCUGUCUUUGAAGUCUAGGGUUACGUCUCAAAGUACUUGUAGAUUUGGGCCACGUACUGCAUCACACUCUGCCAGUCGGGCCGGUCUGUGUACAGCAUCUCGCUGAGUUCCUGCAGGGGAAGGGAAUGGGGGACAGAUCACAAGGCAGGACAUCACAGACCCCUUCCCCUCAAGGACUUCAGUCCAGGUUAGGGCUUACACUGCCUGGAAACCCUCCACUUACACAGACAGAACGUGAAGGCCAGCACAGGUGGUGCUGAAAGCGAUGAGUUAAAGGACUUUUCCUCCCACUUAUUCAGGAGAUACUGUCCCUUUCCAAAAACGGAAAACAUGACCUCCCACUGCUUUUAUCUUUUAACCAUAUGACAGCAUUUAAACAAGUUUUAAAAAGCAAAAAUCACCCAUAAUUUCACUAUUAAAAUGAUUUCCAAGUUUCUAAAUUACAUUUGAAUCCACCUCUAAUUCCCCAGACUCCCAGCACACUGCACGCGCUAUUACGUGGGCUGUGCCAUUACGUGGGCUGAGCAUUUCACACCCGGGUCCCCGUGCUGCUGUGCCACUGUGCGGGCUGCCAUUCUAGUGAAUGUGCACUCACCAGGGAAACUGCUGUCCACAAGGGACAUGGCAUCCAGUGUACGCUCACCUCGUGACCACCACAGACUCUGCAAUCAGCAUCUUUGUGCAGUAUUGUUUCCUUCUGUCGAACUAGUCCCUCAAGAUAAAUUACUGAGUGGGAUUAUCACAAAAGCCUUGAACCAAUUUCAAAUGCAACCAUUUAUUUUACCAGCAUUGUUACUACUUAAUGUGUUUUUUUGUUUGUUUGUUAUUUAAUACAGUUUGGUGAUUUUUUGGCUUAUUUUUAUUUUACUUUUGCUAAUUUGCUGGUUUUUACUGACUGAUUUAUUUUUGUUCAUUUUGCAAGUAAGCUUGUAAUGAGCAUGCAUAACAUCCAGGCCAGAAAGGGAGGGGCAAGAGGGUGGGCAUCCUGUCAGGCACUCAAACUUUUCUGAAAUUUGUGCCACUGGACAUAUUUAAUAAUUAACUUUGGGAUUGAAUUUGGAUUCUGUGUGGUUAAAAGAGAAUAGUAGGAAAGGACCCUGAUGUAAAGCCAGAAGCAGAGAUGCCAUGGAAAAGUAAGGCUGAACUUAGCACAUCAGUUCCUGGGGGUUAACAGAGUUGGCUGAGGCUGUUAAUGAGCCAUUCAUCCCCUGAUUCAAAAUCUGAACAGACUUCACUUAUUCUGCUCCCUGGUGAUGCUAAAAAAUUAUCAGCCUAUCAUUAGUCAUGGGAAAGGAGUGGAAGAAGAGUUGGUAGAACAUUCCGUGCAGGUACACCUAGAACAAUUUUAAAAGAAAAACAAACUUUCACAGAAUACAAGAAUAGAAUGUCUCCUUCUACCUACACUGGCUGUAGUCAUGACUGCACACAGACUGAGGCCUGGCAACCUAAAAUCCGUACCAAGGAGUGUUGCUAACAUGACUUACAGAAAGGAACUGAUGAAGAAUUGGGCAUGCAAUUUGGACAUAGAUGAGCUCUGGGAAAAGAAGGGAUACCUACAAACACAAGAGAGAUGGCACACUGCACACUUUCCUCUGUAUUAUGGAAAGGGUGUGUCUUUAAUCUCAGAGAGGACUCCGAAGUCCAAUCAAUAUUCAGUUUUGAGCAGACAAUCUUACAUGCUUGAACUUCAUAACUGAACUAAAAAUAUUUAGUACAUUGUUAACAUAUUUGAGAAUUUGUGAAAAGAUGUUAUACAUUUCAGAAGACAGAGUAUGCUGCAUUAGUAACAAUCUUAUAGUGCAUGACAUUUGUUUGAAUUAGUAGUUAAGACCCUCCAAAAGAUACCAGACCCAGAUGAUUUCACUUGUGAAUUCUAUCAAAUACUUAAGGAAGAAAUAAUACCAAUUCUACACAAUCUCUUCAAAAAAUGGAAGAGGAGAGAAUAAUUCCCAACUCAUUCCAGGAUCCCAACAUUAUCCUGAUACCAAAACUAGACAUAAACAUUACAGGAAAUCUACAUGCCAAUUUCUCAUGAAUACACAAUCUAUUAACCUAUAAAAGUAUAAUACAUCAUGAUCAAGUGAGGUUCAUCCCAGGAACACAAGGCUGGUUCAACAUUUGUAAACUGAUGUAAUUCGUCACAUUAACUAACUGAACAAGAAAAACCAUAUGAUCAAAUCAACAGAUGAAGAAAAAGCAUUACACAAAAUUCCACAAUCAAGAUAGUUUUUAUAGGUGGUAACUCUCAACAAACUAGGAAGAGAAGGGAACCUCUUUUACCUAGCAAAGGAUAUGUAUAAAAAACCAACAGCUGACAUCAUACUUAAUGGUGAAAGACCUGAACAUUCCCCCCGUAAAAUCAUGAACAAGGCAAGGAUGUCCUUUCUCAUCUGUCCUAUUUAAAACUGUACUGGACUGUAAUCCCAGCACUUUGGGAGGCCGAGGCGGGUGGAUCACCUGAGGUCAGGAGUUCAAGGCAGGCCUGGCAAACAUGUUGAAACUCCGUCUCUACUAAAAAUACAAAAAAAUUAGCCAGGCAUGGUGACAGGUGUCUAUAAUCCCAGUUACUCAGGAGGCUGAGACAGGAGAAUCACUUGAACCCAGGAGGCAGAGGUUGCAGUGAGCCGAGAUCAUGCCAUUGCACCCCAGGCCUGGGUGACAGAGCAAGACUCCAUCUCAAAAACAAAAACAAAAACAAAAACAAAAAAAAAAUGUACUGGAAGUUCUAGCUAGUGCUAAACGGCAUGAAAAAGAAACAAAUGGCACGCAGAUUGGAAAGGGAGACAUAAAACUGCCUUUAUUUGCAGAUGAUAUGAUUGUUUAGAAAAAUCCCAAAGCAUUUACAUGCAGGUUUAGCUAAGUCUCAGGAUACAAGGUCAGUAUACAAAAGUCCAUUGCUGUCCUAUGUACCAAUUGAACAACUGGAUUUUGUAAUAAGAAAAACAAUAACAUUUACAAUAGCACCAAAAAAAAAAAAAAAAAAACCCCACUAAGGUCUAAAUCUAACAAGGUAUGUGCAGAAGGCAGACACAGCUGUCAGGGUGGUUGACGGCAUGCGCUCUGGAGCUGCCUGCCUGGCCUUGCCUCUUGCCUUUCCCGCUCAUAAGCCAUGUGCCUCAGUUUCCUCUUAUAGAGUGCAUCCACCUUGCAGGACCUCCAUGAGGGUCCAACAAGUCCUUGCAUGAAAAAUGCCCAAAAUGGUAAAUACAUACAGUAAAUAUGAAAAACAAAAUGCUUGUCACACAAUCAAGCACAAAUUAGCUAUUUAAGCACAGCUCAUUAAGUUUACACUUGCAGAGUAGGCCCAGCCAUGCCUCAGGAAUUGCUGCAUGGUGACCUCCCUCCACGGGGGCAUGCCAGCACCCAGUCCUGCAGCAGCUGUCCUGGUGGGCAUGCUGGCACUCAGUGAGCAACAGCCCUCAUGGACUACAUGGCCUGGUAAAGACACAGCAGCCCUGGGGACACAUGUUUUGGCCGUUUUUAUGACAGUGACAUCACAUAUCGUCCCUCGCCUAAUUCCUUUUCUGGGGAGUUGCUUGCAUCUGUAAUUGGGCUGGCUAAGAUGCUCUCCUUACACGGUGGCUGAGAAAGAACACUUUCUAAUAUCUGGGGAACACUAUAGAGCUUCAUUUUUAAAGAUCUCAUCAUCUCACACCAGUCAGAAUGGCUAUUGAUAGAACGUCAAAAAGUAACAGAUGCUGACAAGGCUGUGGAGAAAAGGGAAUACACUCUUGGUGGAAAUGUAAAUUAGUUCAGUUACUGUGGAAGGCACUUUGGAGAUUUCUCAAAGAACUUAAAACAGAACUACCAUUUGACUCAGCAAUAUCAUUACUGGGUAUAUAUCCAGAAGAAAAGAAAUCGUUCUAUCAAAAACACAUGCACACUUAUGUUCAUCACAGUGCUAGUCACAAUAGCAAAGACAUGAAAUCAACCUAGGUGUCCAUCAACAGUAGACUGGAUAAAGGGCCGGGCACAGUGGCUCAUGCCUGUAAUCCCAGCCCUUUGGGAGGCUGAGGUGGGUGGAUCACCUGAGGUCAGGAGUUUGAGACCAGCCUGGCUAACAUGAUGAAACCCCAUUUCUACUAAAAAAAAUACAAAAAAUUAGCUGGGCAUGGUGGUGCGUGCCUAUAAUCCCAGCUACUCAGGAGGCUGAGGCAGAAGAAUUGCUUGAACCCGGAAGUCGGAGGUUGCAGUGAGCCAAGAUUGCACCAUUGCACUCUAUCUUGGGCAACAAGGCGAAAUUCCAUCUCAAAAAAAAAAAAAAAAAAAAGAAAAGGAGAAAGAAAACCAGUAGACUGGAUAAAGAAAAUGUGGUACAUAUAUACCAUGGAAUACUAUGCAGCCAUAAAAAGAACAAAAUCAUGUCCUUUGCAGCAGCGUGGAUUCAGCUAGGGGCCAUUAUCCUCAGCAAACUAAUGCACAAACAGAAAACCAAAUAAGACAUGUUCUCACUUAUAAAUGGAGCUCAACAUUGGGUAGUCAUGGACAUAAAGAUGGGGACAGUAGACACUGGGGACUACAAGAGGGAGAAAGGAGGGAGGGAGGCAAGGGCUGAAAAACUAUCGGCUACUAUGUGCCUAUCUGGGUGACAGGAUCACUCAUAUCCCAAACCUCAGCAUCAUCCAGUGUACCCAUGUAACAAACCUGUACAUGUACUCCUUGAAUCUAAAAUAAAAGUUGAAAUUAUAAAAAUAAAGAUCUCAUCCUAAUAUGUUAUACCCCAGAAACUUAUAUUUACUUGAAUAUAAACAUAUAAGACAAUUUUCCUGGCAUAAUCUAACAACAGAACUUGACUGAAGAUUUGGGGAUUACUGCUGUCACUUCUGACUGGGUGUAGUUUUAAAGUGUCAUGUGUAAUUCAACAUACUGGAUUUUCCAAUCCACAUCAAGGUACUGAAAAGCAAAUUUAAGAAUGUAGGAAAUUUCUAUUUUGUUGGUGGAAAAAGCCGGGAAAGUGCUCACAAACACUCCUAAGUGCCUUUGAGAUUAAUUAUCAUGUGUGUCAGCAGCUCCUCACAGACCAUCCACACCAAUGAAACCCCUGGCUCUGACAAUUAGGACAACAAAAUGACCUCAUUCACUUCCCAGCUCACUAACUUCUAUAGCACAUUAGAUGAAAAUUAAGAAAAAGAUAUUAUAUUUAAACAGAAGUAAAUAUUAAUUACAACACUACAAAGAAAAAUGUAUUCUGUGUAAAAUAUAAUCUUCCAACAAGGUCUCAUUGUAUCUUUAUCCUUACCUGAUCUCUCUGUUGGUACUCCUUAGUUUUGUUGUUUCUGAAGGGAGAUCCCUGCUACUCCACCCUGGUCAGAUGUGUAAGUUUCCUCACACCUUUUUAAAUUUCCCAGACUUGUAAAUACACAAUAGGGAUAUCUGCGUCUUAAAGAUUUAGCAAAAUCUGGGCUGAUGGGGAUAUUUUUUCUUUGUGUGUGUGACUACAUUUUAAAGCAUAAAUUCAACCUCUUCAAUGGUUAAAGUUUUAUGUCUUCUUAAGUUUCAUAGGAAUAUUUACAUUUAAUAUUUGAAGAAACAUACUUGUAUUUUUCUAGAAAACUGUCCAUUCUGUUUCAAAAUUACACUGGCAUAGCACUGUUCAUGGUGGUAAGAUUUCACAAUAGAUGUACAUUCACUUUUUCAUUUCUCAGAUUCCCCACAU